AUCUUCGGACACGUUGUGGGCCAGCCAGUUCACUCGGUUUCCAGCUCUCGCGGAGGGCUUCGUUAAACUUCACUCGGAAGUGCUUCGUUAAACUUCACUCGGAAGUGCUUCGUUAAACUUCACUCGGAAGUGCUUCAGCGCCUCCUCUGUUUUCCCCGGUGCCAGGGAGUCCUUGAGAUACCGGAUGUCUUUGGAGCAGCUGAGCUCAGGCAGGCCUGCUGCCUGCAUCAGGGCAAAGAGGUGGAGGAAGAGAAGCCCGUGGCGCCGCAGGAUGGUGUUAGGCCCUUUCACAGUAGCCCCGGAACCUUUCAAAUUUCUCAUAUUAUUAGUCUUCCCCUGCUCAAUCACAUGGACAAAGUCAUAGGUGAGGAUGAAUGGGACACGCUGACGGUUGAUUCCAAACGUGGUCUUGAAAUUCCCCCAGAAAGUGGCAAAAAUCAAUGUGGAACAGCUGCCCACUCGCUCGGAUCAUGAUGUUGUCGCUGUGCCGAUCACCGAUGCCCAGCACUGUGAAACUACAACUGUGUUUAUAAGGAGGAUGCCACUGGAAAUGAAUUCUGCUCAAAGAAUGAACUCUCUACACACAUCAUCUUUCUCUCACAGACAUCAUACCACCUCAAGCACUGCAGCCUCAAAAGGGGAAAUUCCUGAGUGAUUCUUCUUGAAGCUUAAAUUCUGUGGGAUUUUUAUGGUGGAAAACUUAGGAGAGGAACCAGACAGCCCAUCUAGGAGCUGAUACUCUUCUAGUGAAGACCACCCUUGCAGGAAAGCAUCUGUCCUCCCAGAAUCCGGAUGUUAGGUUUGAGAAUUUACUAAUGUGUGACUUCUCUGAAACAAUUUAUUUAGGAAAAAAGGUUGAAUAAAUAUAUACUCAAUAAAAGUAUUGCAAAAA